AAUUAAUUUACAGAUAAGUCGGGUUAUAAAAACAUUGUAAAUGACAUCAUUAUUAGAAAUGUUUGGCACUGUUUCAAGUCAAUCAAAAUGUAGUAUUCCUAUGCUAAAGUUGAUGCAUUUAUUCAGUGUGCCAUUCCCUAAAGUUUCAAAUCAACAAUACUGAAUAACUUUCAUACUUUCUAUUUCAGUGGUACGAACUUCGAGGUAAGUAACUUAUACAUUCAUAUCUUAUUCGAUUUAUUAAUAUGCGAAAUGGUCCGUAGAUCAAUACUGAUCGAAAGCAAUAAGAAAAAAAACUUACGUGAAAUAUCUAUUUUAGAACAACUAUUUAUUCGUUGCUUGCCGACAGGGUAUUAGCAUCACACCGCAUCUAGAUUCUCUAGGCAGUCUGACUAACGGAGCGUAGUGGGACAGAAGUCAAAGUGUGUUUCAAGCUUAAAAAAGACUUUAUUAUUUUAAAAACGUGAACCGGUUAAUACAAUGAGCGCCUGUUUAAGAAUGAGUGGCAUGCGGGAACGGAGUCAAAGCAUCAGGACGCAACAGGACAGAGACAGGUGCCAAAUACUUAAAUUCCAAGUUAUGAUGCAAGGAAUUGUAGAAGCUAAAAUGUAAAGUAUAAGAAACAACGUAAUAAGGUCACGUCUAUUGUUUUCGUUCCGAUGAUGCGUCACUCAACCUUCACCCUGUCCGAAUCGGUUGAAAGAAGUUGCCCAGAAUCGUGUAGGGGCAAAUCAAAUCGAUGCGGCCAUCGAUAAACUAGCAAAGGUUAGCAUCGAGCCAUUGAAGAACCGCUACGAAGUCUCGAAACCGCCGUCAUACUAUUACAAACCGUUCAAAUAGUCUAUAAGUAGUUUCUAUAAGUUUAUUUUCAUAUUUUAUACCUAAAUUGCAUUUAAAAUUAAUAAAUCAUGAUCUCUUAUCUGUUUAUUGCAUUAUUUGCAUCCCGAAACUAUCACCCCAGACAAUUCUAAAUGUCAAAUAGUCAUGGAUUUGAUGGCAUGCUCAU